CUCACUUUAAUUAUGCAGAUUUAUGCACGACGCUACUAUACACUCGCACAAACUGAGAAGAGUUAGUUCAUUGAGAAUGGAUUGAAACUGAUGAAGAGCUGGAAGGAGUUAACUGAUGAGUAGACAUUACAACAUUUCUUAUAAUUUGCAAGAUGAAGCUGAAAGUCCCAUGCAGGAUGAUGCUUCUCUACAGUGGAUGAUGAAGGCAUGCUGAUUACAAACCCAGGAGAGGAACAAAGAACAGAUAUUGACAGAAGCAUAUCUAGAGAUGCGGGCCUACUACACUUCAUACGAGCAAGUGUGCUAAUAUACAAUACUUGGGUUAUCAUCACAGCCCUUUCUUCUGAAAACUAGCCUACAACUUCAUCGAUGAAUGCAGAAGACAUCUACAUGGGACUACGUCUUAAAGAUGCAACCCUCAUAUAAUGAAAGAGGACAUUAGAGAUGGGUUUAAACUUGAAUAUUUACA